rnacentral:rRNA from 1 species
GACAGAGGAGGCGAGCGUUAUCCGGAAUUAUUGGGCGUAAAGGGUACGUAGGCGGCUGGUCAAGUCUGGGGUUAAAGGCCACAGCUCAACUGUGGGAAGGCCCUGGAAACUGACCGGCUAGAGUGAGGUAGGGGUUGCGGGAAUUCCCGGUGUAGCGGUGAAAUGCGUAGAGAUCGGGAAGAACACCUGAGGCGGAAGCGCGCAACUGGGCCUCAACUGACGCUGAGGUACGAAAGCUAGGGGAGCGAAUGGG